GGCUUCGUGGCCGUGCGGUUAGUGUCGUUAAGGCAAUGAGCGCAUCGUCUCAUGAGGUGUGGGUUCGAUUCCCGCUGCAGCCA
rnacentral:tRNA from 1 species